UACGUAGGGGGCAAGCGUUGUCCGGAUUUACUGGGCGUAAAGAGCGUGUAGGCGGCCAAGCAGGUCCGUUGUGAAAGUCGGGGGCUCAACCCUGGAAAGCCGGUGGAUACUGUCGGGCUAGAGUCCGGAAGAGGCGAGUGGAAUUCCUGGUGUAGCGGUGGAAUGCGCAGAUAUCAGGAGGAACACCGAUGGCGAAGGCAGCUCGCUGGGACGGUACUGACGCUGAGGCGCGAAAGCGUGGGGAGCGAACAGG
rnacentral:rRNA from 1 species